rnacentral:rRNA from 1 species
CUACGGGCCGCACCAGUGGGGAAUAUUGCACAAUGGGCGCAAGCCUGAUGCAGCAACGCCGCGUGAGGGAUGAAGGCCUUCGGGUUGUAAACCUCUUUUAGCAGGGAAGAAGCGAAAGUGACGGUACCUGCAGAAAAAGCACCGGCUAACUACGUGCCAGCAGCCGCGGUAAUACGUAGGGUGCAAGCGUUGUCCGGAAUUAUUGGGCGUAAAGAGCUCGUAGGCGGUUUGUCACGUCUGCCGUGAAAAUCCAAGGCUCAACCUUGGACUUGCAGUGGGUACGGGCAGGCUAGAGUGCGGUAGGGGAGAUGGGAAUUCCUGGUGUAGCGGUGGAAUGCGCAGAUAUCAGGAGGAACACCAAUGGCGAAGGCACAUCUCUGGGCCGUAACUGACGCUGAGGAGCGAAAGCGUGGGGAGCGAACAGGAUUAGAUACCCCAGUAGUC